AUAUCAAGCGACCCCACCAGACCCGGGCCUAACCCCUAUAACCAGAACUACGCCCAGCCUAACCCUAACCACCCAGCUCACCAAAUCCCGUACGGAGCCGUUGUCUACCAGCCUAUUGGAGCAGGGUAUCAACCUAAACGAGCCUGGAGCUCAGGACUCUUCGACUGCUGUAAUGAUGCCGACUCAUGUGUUUAUGGCUGGUGUUGUCCCUCACUGAUGAUCUGUGAUCUAGCUGAAAGAUUUGGGGGAUCUGGCGGCUGGUACAUGAACACGACGUACAUGCUAAUGGAACUCAGGCAACAGUUUAAAGCCGUGUACAAUAUCGAAGACGAUACGGACGAUUGUUUUGCGGCCUGGUGUUGUAAGCGUUGUGCGGCCUGUCAGAUUGCCAGGGAGAUCAAGUUUCUAGAGAGUACCAACCAGUGGAGAGGGCGUUAGGGGG